rnacentral:rRNA from 1 species
GGUGAAAGCUUACAUCUCUUCGGAGCAUUUUACGAGGUGCUGCAUGGUUGUCGUCAGCUCGUGCCGUGAGGUGUCGGGUUAAGUCCCAUAACGAGCGCAACCCCUACCUUUAGUUGCCAUCAGGUUAAGCUGGGGACUCUAAAGGAACUGCCUACGCAAGUAGUGAGGAAGGCGGGGAUGACGUCAAAUCAGCACGGCCCUUACGUCCAGGGCUACACACGUGCUACAAUGGCCGAUACAGAGGGCAGCUACCUGGUGACAGGAUGCAAAUCUCCAAAGUCGGUCUCAGUUCGGAUCGGAGUCUGCAACCCGACUCCGUGAAGUUGGAUUCGCUAGUAAUCGCGCAUCAGCCAUGGCGCGGUGAAUACGUUCCCGGGCCUC